AGCGCAGCCGCUGUGCCGGCACUUCGUGGUCACCGACGACGACAUCAGGAAGCAGGAGGAGCGGGUGCAGGCGGUGAGGAAGAAGCUGGAGGAGGCGCUGCUGGCCGAGGUUCUGUCGCGGAGCUGCGAGCGCAGAGAGAGCCCCGAGAGGGACGGCGAGAACGGGCACGGGCACUGACACCAAGGUACUCGGAUGCCCAAGGAGGAAAAUCCCCAAUUUUUGAGGCACUUUGAUUUUUUUUUUUCCCUCUUUGGAAUUUUAUUUUUUUGUCCAAAGUUUUGGGAAGAAUUAAAAAAAAAAUAAUAAUUUCCAAAAAAUGCCUUUUUUUAAAUAAAAAUUAUAAAAUUUAUUCUUUUUUUUUUGAUGUAAAUAAUUCUAAAGAUUUAAAAAGAAAAAAAAUCAAGAAUUCCCAAGGAAAAGAAAAUGGAAAUUUUAGUUUGAUUUUUAUUUUUAAAGCUCCACGUUAAAAAAUUAAAAAAUUAAAAAAUUAAAAAAAAAAAAUUUGAAUUUUUUUGGGGGGAAUUUUUGGGGUUUUUAAGGAAAAGUUGGAGCUGGAAAAUUUUUUUUUUUGGAGGGGGGAAUGAAUGGAAUUGUGUAAAUAAAUGGAG
rnacentral:lncRNA from 14 species